rnacentral:lncRNA from 1 species
UUUGUUAUAUUCUCAGUUAUGGUAUGCUGACCAUGUGGGCACAUAUGUGGCUUGAGGGCACCCACGCAAGUAUUCAACAGGGCACUUUUAAUACGGGGGCAGUUGAGCUGCCUGCCUAUGCUGCCUUGUGACAGCUGUUGUUUGAAGGCUUCUUGGCCCACCCUCUACUAUUGUGGGCUGAUGUUUUCUACUAGAUUACAUUUGCUUUGAAAUACAUUACAGUCCCAGCUCUCCUGAGACGUGAAAGCUGUGUUCUUGCAGUUACACUAUGCAACUUAGUCUGGAAAGUAGCCAGAUAAUGCAGUCACAACUGUAUUUGUGAAUAUGACAGUAGGGGUUGAAAAAGAUAUUAAACCUUAGGCUUUAGACCUUAAGCCAGUCUGUAGUUGACUCGGGUCAGAACAGGGUGAACAAGAACGUUUCUGCCAUCCUGUGACUUCACUGUGUUGCAUCCGAGAGGUAGUCCACGGUGGUCCCCUGUGUCUGAGCAGCACAAAACAGCUUCCAUAGCAGCACCUGGUCACUAGGUGCUCAUCCCUACAAUUAAUAACAUUGUCAACCGUGCUGAUAAUGUUAUUAAUCACAGGGUGGCAGCACAUUCAAGUUUCAGCCUAAUCAGGAUUCAAAAUUCUUAUGUCCUCAGUGCUGUACAUUCAUAAAUGCAUGUUUCCUGCCCCAAAUGCUUUGGAACAGCUUCAGUGGGAUGUUGGAUUGUGCUCAGAUUGCAGGAGCCUGAUAGAAAUAUCCCAAGGUAAAUACUGCUCAUGGUCCCCUACUGCAAAUUAUUCACUUUGCAUUGAGAUAAAGUCUGUAUUAUACUGGUGAAGAUAUUGCUGAACGUCUUGUAGCUGAUGCCCAUAGCAAACCAGAAUAUUAAAUUGUGCCAUGACCAUAUGCCAAUUCAUCAGAGAGGUAAGAUGCA